rnacentral:rRNA from 1 species
AUUGAACGCUGGCGGCAUGCCUUACACAUGCAAGUCGAACGGCAGCGGGCCUUCGGGUGCCGGCGAGUGGCGAACGGGUGAGUAAUGCAUCGGAACGUGCCAUUGAGUGGGGGAUAACGUAGCGAAAGUUACGCUAAUACCGCAUAUUCUGUGAGCAGGAAAGCAGGGGACCGCAAGGCCUUGCGCUCUUUGAGCGGCCGAUGUCAGAUUAGCUAGUUGGUGAGGUAAAGGCUUACCAAGGCGACGAUCUGUAGCGGGUCUGAGAGGAUGAUCCGCCACACUGGAACUGAGACACGGUCCAGACUCCUACGGGAGGCAGCAGUGGGGAAUUUUGGACAAUGGGCGGCAAGCCUGAUCCAGCCAUGCCGCGUGAGUGAAGAAGGCCUCGGUG